CUUCUUGAGUGUUCGGCAGAUUUCAUGAAAAUCACCGGGAGCAAUUUUUUUGGUUGAAGCAAGUUUGGUUAGCUCGGCAACAGCAUCCCUUCUUUCAGACCACUUGCACAUACCACACCAUCCCAAAAUCCAGACUUCUCAAGUGGUGUUAAGAUAUCAACAGGAUCAACAAGAUCGUAUUCAUCGAUCUCCAUAGGGGCCUCUGGCACUGCCUCUUCAGAAUUGUUAGUGCCUGCUGCCUCUGGCACAACUUCCUCCUCAAGUUCCUUUUCUUGAGAAUCACCUUAUCUUGCGAGUUGGCUUAGCGAUUCCUGAGACAUUUGCUAGCUCUGCUUCCAAUUCUUUUUUCAUUGUAUCUCUCAUCUUCUCAAAUAAAAUUGCCUUUACAGGCUCUUUGCCAAUCCACCGACAAAGCUCAAGUGUCAAACCCUUGGAUGAAGCCCGAACAUUCUGAUCUGGAUGAUCAAACAGCUCAGGAAGCAUCUUCAAUAUUUUUUUGGGUGGUACUACCUUAGCUCCAAAUUCACUAUGCCUGAAACAUCACAUCAAUAGCAGGUACAACUGCUUUGGCCACUUUGUUCUUUACAGCCUUCUCCAUUGAUUCAAGGAAAACCUCCGCCGCCUCCAACUCCACCCAAAGGAGGAAUGCAGCCUGAGCCUUCUCAACCGUCUUAGGCCGGCCAGUGAGGCAUUUGGCGACAAUCGCAUCACAGACCUCCUUCACGCACCUCGAUGCAUCAGCAUCAGCCGCCCGCUGGAAAGCGAGCAGGGCAUCCAACGCCUUCUCCUGCACCGGCGCGUUCGAAUCCGCCACAGUCUUCUUAAACAACGGCCCGAACUCGCGGAGGCGGGCGUCCUUGGGGUCGGUGAUUGAGUCGCAGAGGGCGGCGAGAUCGAUGUUGGCGUCGUUCCGCACCUUCCAGUUCUUGUGCUGCAGCCGCUCGUCCCACGGCAGCUUCUUCGCCUCCUUGAGGAGCUUCUCGUCCUCCGUCGACAUGGCCGGCCGCCGCCGCC
rnacentral:sRNA from 1 species